AUAAUUGUCUGUGUCCAAGUUUGCCUGCUCCACUGGUGCUGUGUACCUCCAGGGCGUAGGAAGACUUGAUGGAACAAAUGAAUGAAUGGAAACACUACAGUCAUUGUCAUGUGAACACACCUGAGCUAGCCUGGUAGAAAAACCUGGACCCACCACCUCUGUAACCUCAGCUGACUAUUAACCAAUGGUCCACAACAACUUCCAGACAACUGUGAAUGAGGCUAUCUCAGACUAUCCAGCCAAACCUGCCCAGACCAGAGGAAUGACCCAGAACAUUUGACAAGCCUAGUGUCAUCCAGAUCACACUUUGGGAAGUGGUGCCUGAGACUCCUCACCCUCUGUCUCUGUUCUGUGGAGGCCUGUACCAACCGCAAAUUGGCAAGCAUCGUGCUGAAGAAAGAAAAGACCUUAUCCAGCUAUUUAGAGGAGAUGUGACAAAUUACAGUGACAGAAUACCUUACAUUAUACAGAUUUUACUGUCUCUGGAACCCUCCUGGUUAUUCUUCUCAUGUUUCAUCUCCAUGGUGACCUGAUGAAGACAACAAGGACGGUCUCUCUAUUGCUUUUGCCGCCACUAACGACCAUCAUCAAGUGGGAUUUCAAGAGGAGCACUACGAUCCUAUAAGUGGGAUUCAGUUUGUGGGGAAUAGAGGCCAGGGCUUCCUGCAUGUGGAGACUGCCAUGUUUGUGCAUGACUGCAACCAGCCCAGAAGCUGUAUUUACAGGAAACACAGAGUUAAGUUUGAUGGAAACAAGCAGUAAUGUUAUCUUUUGGAAAAAAGCAAUAUUAAUACAGGAAGAUCCUGAUAUGAUGUGAAAUUGCUAACAUAAUAAAGCUAUAUGACAUUUCUGCCUC